CCUCCCUCUGCCUGUCACUCUUUGUUCUGUCACUCUCACAAAACAACUGCAUAUAUUCGCUAGUUUCAUAGGGACCACAAUGGCACAUAAAACUGUGUCCUGGGUGCCCAUUUAAGCCCUUCUGGUAUCAUUUUCCUGAAUUCUUCAGAAAAUAUGCCUUCUAUAUAUAUUAGCUAACAUUUCCUGAGCAUCUACAAUAAGCCUUUUCCAUAUAUCACUGCAUUGAAUCCUUACAACUCUAAGCUUUCUAAUUCAACCAGCUUUGGGGCAGCAAAACAUAAAUUUCCACUUCUGGAAUGGGAGACAUCUCCAGUGAAAGUUACCUUAAGGUCCAGAAGAAGCCAGGCAGAGAAAUCACAUGUCUCAGCUUUUCCACUGCAAAAUUUCUAUUUUAUACUUGAAGAAUAUGAUUCUAAUCAAGUACAAGUUAAUCUGCACCUGAACAUCUUCAGGUCCAUUAAUAUAAAAUCAGUAACUUUUUCAAAUCAAAGGUUUCAAGAAAUUAGAUUUAUCUGGUUCUUUAGCCUUCAAAGUCUGAGUCAAAUAACUCUUACACAGACUUUGCUGCUUAAAAUCCUUCACUUCUUCUCUAGGCCUGUGUAGACUGCAAAUAUUUCCAUUACAGUUGCUUUUGGGACUCAUACCCCAGUUGUAUCUUAGUCUAUGACAUGCGCUAUAAUUUAAAAAUCAUAGAAUUACCUUUAUUUUAAAAUAUCCUUUUUUUUUUUUUUUUUUUUUUUUUGAAACAGGGUCUUGCUCUAUCACCCAGGCUGGAGUGCAGUGGCGCGAUCUCAGCUCACUGCAACUUCUGCCUCCAGGUUCAAGCGAUUCUCGUGCCUUGGCCUCCCAAGUAGCUGGGAUUACAGAUACGCACCACCACACCCAGCUAAUUUUUGUAUUUUUAGUAGAGAAGGGGUUUUGCCAUGUUGGCCAGGCUGGUUUCGAACUCCUGACCUCAAGUGAUCCACCCGCCUUGGCCUCCCAAAGUGCUGGGAUUACAGGCCUCGUGAGUCGCUGUGCCAGGCCUAAUUUUAAAUAUUCUGUGCAUCAGAUAUUUCACUAAACCAGACUGCCCCUCCUCCUACUCAUUCUCAUCUCAUCUCAUUAUUCCAAAUGUUAGAGGUUUGACUAUAUGUUACAAACACACACCUGCAAAUGGAGUCAAUGCCUGUGGACUAACAGAACCCAUAUUCAAAGCCUGAGAAUCAGCUAUGGGAAAGCCAUCUGAGAGACAAAUUAUACUUGAAGGACAGCAACUCUAUCCCUGAGUUAGCUAACGCUCAGCAGAAGUCUGGCCCACUGGGACCUAAGCAAUUUGGUACGUAGAUCUGAGUAUAAUAAGGUUUGGGAGCUUGCAGGAAUUUCAAGAGUACACAAAGAAGGCAUCAACACCACUACCUGAGCAUCCAUGCCUAAGUAAAAAGUGUUUGCUCCAUGUGCCACCCUCUUCAAAAAAACAAACAUAUGAAUACUCAUAUUUAUGUAAACCAUAAGCAUACAAUGAUUAUAUAUUUAAAUCCAUGAAGAUGGGUAUUUAUAAAGAAAAAUGACCAUAAAGUCAUCAAAUUAAAAUUCUGUUGGCAAAAAGGGAUAGGAUGAAACUUUCCUUAAAUAUCACAACACCGGUCCAGCUGAGCAUCAACGAAUAGGAGAAAACCAGCUGCCUCCAGCCCAACAACAAUGGGACACAGACCUCACCUCACUUCUAGGGAAGAGCCACCACUAAGACCAGGUGAUGAAUGUCACUGGACAGUGAUUCUGCUGAGGCUUAGGUGGCAUACACCCUGCACCAGGCACUGUUCUAGGCACUGGGGAUAAACAGCAAACAAAAUACUCAAGGUCACUGCCCUCAUGGAGCAUGCAGUCUAACUGAAGGGGAUAGAAAAUAAACAACUGUCAAGUGGUGAUAAGUGCUAAGGAAUAAAAUACAGCAAGCCAGAGACUGAGAACCCCAGAAGCCACCAAGUGGAGAACCCCAGGCUUUAGAGAACCCCACAAGCCACCAUGUGGAGAAGCCCAGGCUAACCUGCUGGAUGAUGAGACUCACAAAGCCCAGGCAUCCCUGUAGCCCUUGCCAACCGUCAUGUAUGUGAGUGAGACUAUCCAUCUGACGGGAUGUUCAUGAGUGAGCUCAGAGGAGAAGAGAACCAUCACAUAGCUGAGCCCAGCUUAAAUUGCCAAACCACAAAAUGGUGAACUAAAUAAAUGCCUGUUGUUUUAAGCCACCAAGUUUUGGAGUGGUUUGUUGAGCAGCAAAAGCUGAUUCAAAAUCUAUUUAUCCCCCAAAUCGAAUGCAAGCCACCUAACAGCAUUAUAUAAAAGGCAAAAUUUCAAUUCUAAAGUAAACUGACAUAGAAUGGGUAUGGUGUUGAUGAGCUGAUUAGAAAAGGAAAGAGCACAAGUCAUAAAUCACCGUGUAGCUCAUUAAAAUGUAGUAUGAUAGAGAGCUGAGUUCUCUGUGCAAAAAAUUACCAAGAUAAGAAUCUCAGCUGGGUGUGAUGGCUCACGUCUGUAAUCCCAGCACUUUGGGAGGCCGAGGUGAGUGGAUCACAUGAGGUUAGGAGUUUGAGACCAGCCUGGCCAACAUGGUGAAACCCCAUCUCUACUAAGAUACAAAAAAUUAGCCGGGCGUGGUGGUGCACCCCUGUAAUCCCAGCUAGUCAGGAGGCUGAGGCAGAAGAAUCACCUGAACCUGGAAGGCAGAGGUUGCAGUGAGCUGAGAUUGUGCCACUGCACUCCAGCCUGGACGACAGAGCGAGACUCUGCGGUAAAAAAAAAAAAAAAAAAAAAAAAAAGAAUCUCAGAACACUGAAAAUAAAAGAUUUCACACCAAUACAAUGUAUCUUUUCAAUGUCCCACACACCAUUUUUGAAAAUUACUAAGUACUUUACCCUCUUGCCAAACAUCAAAAAUAAUAUGCUCUUUCAAGAUCAUCUAGAUAGAGGAACAGUUACGCUCUUUCCUUAUAGAAAAGAAACCAAGCUGCACUUCUCUUCCUUAGCAGAUACAGAUAGAUGGGUAGAGAUAGAUGAUGGGUGGAUGGAAGGAUAGAAGGACAAACAUACAUACCACAAAUAAUACUUAAGAGUAAAAGCAUUUAUGCUGUAUUGAAAGUCUCUG
rnacentral:lncRNA from 1 species